GCGGGGAUAGCUCAGCUGGGAGAGCGUCAGACUGAAGCCCUUAACUUCAUUCAUUAAUCUGAAGGCCGUGUGUUCGAUCCACACUCACCGCA
rnacentral:tRNA from 1 species